rnacentral:rRNA from 1 species
CAUGCUUAACACAUGCAAGUCGAACGGCCUUAUGGGGCUUGCUCCAUAAGAUAGUGGCAGACGGGUGAGUAACUCGUGGGAACGUACCCUAAGGUUCGGAAUAACAGUUGGAAACGACUGAUAAUACCGGAUAUCUCCGAGAGGAGAAAGAUUUAUCGCCGAAGGAGGGGCCCGCGUCUGAUUAGCUAGUUGGUGAGGUAAUGGCUCACCAAGGCGACGAUCAGUAGCUGGUCUGAGAGGAUGAUCAGCCACACUGGGACUGAGACACGGCCCAGACUCCUACGGGAGGCAGCAGUGGGGAAUAUUGGACAAUGGGGGCAACCCUGAUCCAGCAAUGCCGCGUGAGUGAUGAAGGCCUUCGGGUUGUAAAGCUCUUUUGGCAGGGACGAUGAUGACGGUACCUGCAGAAUAAGCCCCGGCUAACUUCGUGCCAGCAGCCGCCGCGG